rnacentral:misc_RNA from 1 species
AAGGAUCAUUAUCGAAUAAACUUGAACAGGCUGUUGCUGGUCCCUCGGGGUAUGUGCACGCUUGUCUCAUCUUUGUUAUUUUCUCCCACUUGUGCACCUUUUGUAGACUCUGGAGCUUUGUGGAUUUUCUGAAAAUUCGAGUCGGGACUGCCGUGCUUUGUUGUGAAGUCGGCUUUGCCUUGCAUUCUCCAGGUCUAUGUCAUUUUCACAACCUCUUGAAACAUGUUUAGAAUGUUGGAUAAAAUGAAAUAUACAACUUUCAGCAACGGAUCUCUUGGCUCUC